UCAGCCACUCUUUACAGAACUGACUCUGUGUUUUUCUUUCCUUUCUCUGCCGAGCUGAUCAGCUGCCCAUCCUGGGUGUCGAAUGUCGUCACAAAGGGGCGGGGACGAAUAGCGGACGUUGCAAGGCUCUGCUCAGUUGACUUGUGGACCUUGUACGGUUCAGAUGUGCGACGUCUAUCUAGAACGCAGAUGGCACUCUCAGAUAGAACCGUGUGGAUCUUCUCCCCUUGAGAAGAGUCUAACAUUGCAGAGGAAGUUCUUCGGAACACAGGAGCAGGUUCUCCUCAGGAAGUGAGCAUUUGAUGACAGAGUGGUCCUGUUCUCCAGUCCAAUUUUGAACACCAUAAUGGACAACAUAUCAGAACUGUCUGAUUAUGAGUUGGAUCCUUCAGUGGUUCAGUCUGGUUCCUCUUCCUCUAACAAAGGAACAGACAGCAUCAUGCCUGUCUGACAACUUGGCUGGUCCUUCGGAUCCUGAGGCACUUGGUCUUCAUCGGGCCUGGCAAGCUCCAACAGUCCAAAAGAACUGACUGAGAGAAUUCUCAGAGAGCUCUCUGCAUCCUCUAGUUGUUCAAAGCUAGAGGAAGUUCUAAAUGGGACGUUUGUUGAGCUUCUUCAAUGGUUUGGGGAAGAAGGUUCUCUGCAUAAGGCCUUGAACCCUCGAGACUCCACAUUUGAUGAGGCCCUGAUGACUGCCCUACGGAAGCAUCUAGAUGCAGAUGCUUCAACUCCAGUGCCUGAAACUGAGGAGGUGAAGAGCGCACACUCUCUAAGAAGCGCAAGGGCCUCUUCUCCUAUCUUAAGAUGCCAACACUCUUCAAAAAGAUAUCCAGAAAGAACAAGGUUGGACAUGCAGAUCAGGACCCUUUGCAGAGUGGUCGCACUGCUGCUAUGGGUGGAUCCAGCAAUGCGGAGGAGAAGGAGAUGCCUAGGAGACGAUGCAUUUUCAGCAGGAUGUUCUCCUGCUUCAGGAAAUCAUGCGUCUUCUGCUAUGACAUCUGGGCAUCUGUCCUGUCAGAGGUCGUUAAUGACUGUGUGCACCAUUACCUUUAGGCUGAAUCCUGCCAGAAAACAAAAUCCCUUGUCACGGUGAUCCUGACGACACCCAGGUUUACUUCACUCUCUGACCAAAUGACUGUGGUGCCAUAGAUACUUUGUGUCAGAGCUCAGAGCAAAUCCUGAGUCUACCAGAGGAGGAUGGGUUCCCCAUUUGAGUCUUGGUUCCUCUCAAGGUUUCUUCUUCUCGCUCUUAGGGAGUUUUUCCUUGCCACUGUCGCCCUUGGCUUGCUCACUUGGGGCUCAGACCUGGAUUUUCUCUGAAUCUCGUUGUAAAAUGUGCUGUGGAAACAGAUCCUGAACUGUAUUAAAGGAUCGGUCAGCAUUUCCUCCAGGCUAAAUCAACACAGACGUUGUAUUGUUUGGCCAAGAGGAGGAAUGACUGAAGAUCAGUGCACACUUCAGAGCUCCAAUACAGAAAGACCAAGUCAGAAACCUGGGUCCAAAAUUUAAUUUCCAAAAUUUCCAAAGUUUAAAUUCUGCGAUAACACGGAUUCCCCGAGCAAUGCAGGAUGUCAGCCUUCACCUGUUUAACCCUAAACCUCUGUUUCAACAUUUUUGGCCACUGUAAACCAGCUCGCCUGCUGCUGGAAUCGGCUGCCAGAAGAUCUCAGAUUUGCCCCUAAUUUGUCUUUAAGUCGUUAAACUCAGUCUCUUCUUUUUAUCUCACGCAUCUUUCAUACUUUCUGUUUUGACUUUGCACUUCUUUUCAAUUCAUUUGUUUCCCCCCUUCUUUUAUUGUACUUUUUCUUGUGCUUUUAUUUAACACUUUGAAAAGCACUCUGAACUGCCCUUUUAUGA